rnacentral:rRNA from 2 species
CUGAAUUUUUAGCAAAGAAAGCGAGUGGGCGAACUGGUGAGUUACACGUCCCGGGAAAGUCUGCCCAGAAGCAGGGUGAUCAACGAUUACUUGCGAAACCAGGUGCUAAUACGCGUAUAACAACCAACAAUCCGCACUGAGAUUUUGUUUAAAAGGUGAGCUUCGGCUAUCGACUUGGCAACUGGAUGAUCCCGUCGGCUGUAUUACGUUAGUUGGUGAGGUCAUAAGGCCCACCAAGACGAUGAUACGUCAGCCGCACCUGAGACCGGUUUGUAAUCGGCAGUCACAUUUGGGUGCCCAACUGAGACACGGCCCAAACGAUCCUACGGGAGGCAGCACGUAGCGGAAUCUUACCACAACAUGGCACGAAACGUGCUGAUGGCAGCAAUGCACGACGUGUCAGUCUGAACCCGAAGGGUUUCGGCUCGUAAAACUCUGAUUGUUAGAAGAAGUCAACACCUUGUGAGAGUAACUGUUCAAGGGUUGACGGUAUUUAACCAGAAAGUCCACGGCUAACUACGUGCCAGCAGCCGCGGUAAUACGUAUGAGUGGCAAGCGUUGUCCGGAUUUAUUGGGCGUAAAGCGGAGCGCUUAGUGCGGUUUUUUAAGUACUGAUGUGCGAAAGCCUUCGGCUUAACACGGAGAAGUGCAUCGGAAACUGGGAUGGACUUGCAGUGCAGAAGAGGACAGUUGGAUACUCCAUGCUGUAGCGGUGGAAUGCGUCAGAUAUAUGGAAGAACACCAGCCUGCGCGAAGGCGGCUGUCUAGUCCAUGUAACUGACGCAUGAGGCUGCGAAAGCAUGGAGUAGCGAACAGGAUUAGACUACCCUGGUAGUCCAUGCCAGUAAACGAUGCAGUGGUAAGUGUUAGGCCGAGGGCUUUCACGCCAGACUUCAGUAGCUGCAUGCUAACGCAUUAAGCACAAUCCGCCGGACAACG